UUGGAGUUAGUCAGGGAGCUGUA
rnacentral:piRNA from 1 species